rnacentral:rRNA from 1 species
GAUGAACGCUAGCUAAAGGCUUAACACAUGCAAGUCGAGGGACCGGCGCACGGGUGAGUAACACGUAUCCACCCUGCCCUUUACUCGGGGAUAGGCUUUCGAAAGAAAGAUUAAUAACCGAGAAAAAGGAUGGGAUGCGGUCCAUUAGGUUGUUGGUGAGUUAACGGCCCAACAAGCCUUCGAUGGAUAGGGGAUCUGAGAGGAAGGUCCCCCACAUUGGAACUGAGACACGGUCCAAACUCCUACGGGAGGCAGCAGUGAGGAAUAUUGGUCAAUGGGCGUUAGCCUGAACCAGCCAAGUAGCGUGAAGGAUGAAUGCUUAUGGGUCGUAAACUUCUUUUAUAUAAGAAUAUGUAUUAUAUGAAUAAGGAUCGGCUAACUCCGUGCCAGCAGCCGCGGUAAUAC